rnacentral:rRNA from 1 species
GACAGAGGGGGCAAGCGUUGCUCGGAAUUACUGGGCGUAAAGGGCGCGUAGGCGGGAUGGCAAGUCGGUCGUGAAAUCCCUCGGCUCAACCGAGGAACGUCGAUCGAUACUGCUGUUCUUGAGGAUUGCAGAGGAGACUGGAAUUCCAGGUGUAGCGGUGAAAUGCGUAGAUAUCUGGAGGAACACCGGUGGCGAAGGCGGCAUCCUGGACCAAUUCUGACGCUGAGGAGCGAAAGCCAGGGGAGCAAACGGG